ensembl:lncRNA
CUCCCCUCCUCUCUUCCAGCACCAUGUUCCAAGGAGGGGAUCACCCGAGGCCGGCAGGAGCCUCCACCACCACCUCCUCCCCUUCCCGGUGGGUUCAGAGCUCCGUGUUGUCCCAGUCCCACAGAUCCAGACUGAGAUGGGGCCACAUCCAGGGCGGGGUGGCCCAUGCCUGGGACAUCCCACCCAAACAUCCAUGGCCUGUCCCUCUCCCCUCCCAGAGGUGCUGAGCCCCAAGGAGGAGGUCCCAGAGGUGGGGACAGCCCGUCCUGUCCCACCGGAGAGCAGCGCGUUGGAGGGUGGAGAGGAGGAGGAGGAGGAGGAGGAGGAGGAUGACAGCGAAGCCGACAGCAACCUGGCAGAACCCUGGAUCUUCAAGAAGUGGUUUGGCCGCGCAACUCCAGAGGAUGAGGACAAGGAUGAGGACAAGGAUGAAGUUGAGGAUAAGGGUGAGUAUGAAGACAAGGAUGAAGAACCCACAGAUGUCCCCGAGGUGCCACUGGCUGCAACAGAGGUGAAGAAGAGUCAGGAGAAGCAGGAGAAGAAGGUGGAGAAGGAGGUGGAGAAGGAGGAAGAGAAGGAAAAGCAGGAGGAGGACGAGGAAGAAAAGGAGGAGAAAGAAGAGAAGGAGGAGGAGGAGGAAGAAAAGGAGGAGGAGGAAGAAAAGGGGGAGGAGGAAGAAAAGGAGGAAGAGGAAGAAAGGGAGGAAGAGGAGGAGGAGGAGGAGAAGAAGAAAAAGGAGAAGAAGGAGGAGAAGAAGGCCCGGGAAGGCCGUGCUGUCCAUGCAGAGCGCAGCAGCCGGAGAGAGGCACGAGCCAAGGACAGGACACCAGGGAACAAACCUGGCAGAGCUCCCAGGACCCCCAGGGACCCUGAGCAGCAGCCUCAGAAGAAACAGGACCGGGAGAGGACCAGGAGAGGAAGGAGAGGAAGGAGAGGAAGGAGGGCCGGCGGGAGCGGGAGGAGCCCAGGAGGGAGGGGGGGAAGGGCCGUCCUGGCAGGGCCAACGGCGGCCGGGAGAGCCCCAAGAGGGACUGGAAGCAGCAGAAGGGCAGGAAACCCUGGGAAUCAGCUCUGGGCAAGGAUGGCAGGGCCAGGGAGGGCAAGAGGCGCGACUGAGGCCGGGGCGGCCAAGGGGCUCCGGAUCCAGGGACACCCAGGGGGAUCCAACCCACCACUGCCCCCAGCUCCUGCCUGUUCUCCAGGGACAUCCCUGGGCCAUGGGCAGCACCCCAGGAUCCCUGAGCAGCAGCAGAGCAGCCCAGGAGCCUGGCACGAGCCUCCCCGGGGACUUUGGGCCCCCCUGGAUCAAAUGGCCAAAGGUGACCUGAAAGGACCCGGGGAAGGAGCUUCUCUUCAGGCUUCGUGUCCUGCCCCGUCCCCACCCAAACCCCCUGCAGGUCCUUCCCACCCACGGGGUCAUUUCCACCCAGGGCAGCACAGUGGGGUCCCACUGACCCCAGGGAACAGAGUUGGUCUCCAGACUGUGCAGCUCUUCAGUUACUGGUUUUAUUUAAAGCAAAUCAAGAGAGAAGAAUAUCCUGGGUUACAGAACCAGAGGGACAUCGGGGACAGACCCCCCCGACCUCACUCGGUGCCAUCGCUGAGGGUGGCACAGAACUUGCAGGAAACAGAACCAGGUUGGAGCCCCUCACUGGGGAUCCCUUCAGGCUUUGCCUUCACCUUUCAGGAAGGAAACACAAGUGCAAACCUCACACAGCACUGGAGCCACUGCAGGAGACGUUCACAGCCCCAACCCAUGGCAGGUUUUGGUAUUUGCUGAGUCAAUAGAGGUUAAAAUAAACUAUUUUCAUUUUUAAUAAGGUGUUCA